rnacentral:rRNA from 1 species
CCUACGGGUGGCAGCAGUGGGGGAUAUUGCACAAUGGGGGGAACCCUGAUGCAGCGACGCCGCGUGGGUGAAGGAGUGCUUCGGCAUGUAAAGCCCUAUCGGCAGGGAAGAAGCAAGACGGUACCUGACUAAGAAGCCCCGGCUAACUACGUGCCAGCAGCCGCGGUAAUACGUAGGGGGCGAGCGUUAUCCGGAUUCACUGGGUGUAAAGGGGGCGCAGACGGCCAUGCAAGCCAGGGGUGAAAGCCCGGGGCCCAACCCCGGGACUGCUCUUGGAACUGCGCGGGUGGAGUGCGGGAGGGGAGGGAGGACUUCGUGGUGGAGCGGUGAAAUGCGGAGAUAUAAGGAGGAA